CCCUUCCUUUCCUCCAGAGCCUGAGGCAGCCGCGGGGGAGGCGGCCGCUCCUACCUCCCCUCACCUACUCUGUCCCCACCCCCACUCCGCUCCCACCUCCCGCCCGCCACGGGCCGGUUACCUGCUCGUCGAAGCGGCUGACCACGGCCUGGACCCAUUCCACCGGCCUGUGCGCGGCCAUGUCCUCCCCGCGGCCGGGGGGCGGCGGAGGGAAGGGUGGGCCGGCGCCCUGGGCCGGGAAGAGGGCGGGGAGCGGAGGCUGAGAGACAAGGUCUGACUCUGUGCAGUGGAGUGCAGUGGCUCAAUCAUAGCUCACUCCAGCCUCAGACUCCUGGGCCGAAGUGAUCCUCCCACCUCAAGCUCCUGAAUAGCUGGGACUACAGGCAACAAGCUCUGCCAAUUUUUUCUUCGAAGAGUUUUGUUCCAAGCUGGGAGCCGUGGCUCAUGCCUGUCAUCCCAGCACUUUGGGAGGCCAAGCUGGGCAUGGUGGCAUGUGCCUGUGGUUCCAGUUACUUGGGAAGCUGAAGUGGGAGGAUCGCUUGAGCCCAGGAGGUCAAGGCUACAGUGAGCUGUGAUGGUGUCAUUGCAUUCCAGCACUCCAGCCCGGGCAUCAGAGUUAGACCUUGUCUUAAAAAAUAAAUAAAUGAAUAAAUAUAAAUAAAAAAUAAAAAGCUUUUACAGUAGUAUUCCCUUCAUUCUGCCCACCACCCCCAUCUCCACUGGCACAACCAACCAUCCCAGCAUACCAAAGAGCACACCACUCUUCAGGACUAAGGUGCUCAUUUCCUC
rnacentral:lncRNA from 10 species